AUUGAACGCUGGCGGCAUGCCUUACACAUGCAAGUCGAACGGUAACGCGGGGCAACCUGGCGACGAGUGGCGAACGGGUGAGUAAUACAUCGGAACGUGCCCAGUAGUGGGGGAUAGCCCGGCGAAAGCCGGAUUAAUACCGCAUACGACCUACGGGCGAAAGCGGGGGAUCGCAAGACCUCGCGCUAUUGGAGCGGCCGAUGUCAGAUUAGCUAGUUGGUGGGGUAAAGGCCUACCAAGGCGACGAUCUGUAGCUGGUCUGAGAGGACGACCAGCCACACUGGGACUGAGACACGGCCCAGACUCCUACGGGAGGCAGCAGUGGGGAAUUUUGGACAAUGGGGGCAACCCUGAUCCAGCCAUGCCGCGUGCGGGAAGAAGGCCUUCGGGUUGUAAACCGCUUUUGUCGGGGAAGAAACGGUCUGCGCUAAUACCGCGGACUAAUGACGGUACCCGAAGAAUAAGCACCGGCUAACUACGUGCCAGCAGCCGCCGUAACAC
rnacentral:rRNA from 1 species